GGCGGACGGGUGCGUAAUGCCUAGGAAUCUGCCUGGUAGUGGGGGAUAACGUCCGGAAACGGGCGCUAAUACCGCAUACGUCCUGAGGGAGAAAGUGGGGAUCUUCGGACCUCACGCUAUCAGAUGAGCCUAGGUCGGAUUAGCUAGUUGGUGGGAUAAAGGCCUACCAAGGCGACGAUCCGUAACUGGUCUGAGAGGAUGAUCAGUCACACUGGAACUGAGACACGGUCAAGACUCCUACGGGAGGCAGCAGUGGGGAAUAUUGGACCAUGGGCGAAAGCCUGAUCCAGCCAUGCCGCGUGUGUGAAGAAGGUCUUCGGAUUGUAAUAGCACUUUAAGUUGGGAGGAAGUGGCAGUAAGUUAAUACCUUGCUGUUUUCACGUUACCAAAAGAAUAAGCACCGGCUAACUUCGUGCCAGCAGCCGCGGUAAUACGAAGGGUCUCAAGCGUUAAUCGGAAUUACUGGGCGUAAUGCGCGCGUAGGUGGUUCAGCAAGUUGGAUGUGAAAUCCCCGGGCUCACCUGAGAACUGCAUCCAAAACUACUGACUAGAGUACGGUAGAGGGUGGUGGAAUUCCUGUGUAGCGGUGAAAUGCGU
rnacentral:rRNA from 1 species